rnacentral:rRNA from 1 species
CAGUAGCCGCGGUAAUACGUAGGGUGCAAGCGUUAAUCGGAAUUACUGGGCGUAAAGCGUGCGCAGGCGGUUAUAUAAGUCAGAUGUGAAAUCCCCGGGCUCAACCUGGGAACUGCAUUUGAGACUGUAUGGCUAGAGUGUGUCAGAGGGGGGUAGAAUUCCACGUGUAGCAGUGAAAUGCGUAGAUAUGUGGAGGAAUACCGAUGGCGAAGGCAGCCCCCUGGGAUAACACUGACGCUCACGCACGAAAGCGUGGGGAGCAAACAGGAUUAGAUACCCAGUAGUCCCUGUCUCUUAUACA